GACGAACGCUGGCGGCGUGCUUAACACAUGCAAGUCGAACGAAGAGCGAUGGAAGCUUGCUUCUAUCAAUCUUAGUGGCGAACGGGUGAGUAACGCGUAAUCAACCUGCCCUUCAGAGGGGGACAACAGUUGGAAACGACUGCUAAUACCGCAUACGAUCUAAUCUCGGCAUCGAGGAUAGAUGAAAGGUGGCCUCUACAUGUAAGCUAUCACUGAAGGAGGGGAUUGCGUCUGAUUAGCUAGUUGGAGGGGUAACGGCCCACCAAGGCGAUGAUCAGUAGCCGGGCUGGGAGGAUGAACGGCCACAUUGGGACUGAGACACGGCCCAGACUCCUACGGGAGGCAGCAGUGGGGAAUCUUCCGCAAUGGACGAAAGUCUGACGGAGCAACGCCGCGUGAGUGAUGACGGCCUUCGGGUUGUAAAGCUCUGUUAAUCGGGACGAAAGGCCUUCCUGCGAAUAGUGAGAAGGAUUGACGGUACCGGAAUAGAAAGCCACGGCUAACUACGUG
rnacentral:rRNA from 1 species